ACGCUAGCGGCAGGCUUAUACAUGCAAGUCGAGGGGCAGCAUGGGGUAGCAAUACUCUGAUGGCGACCGGCAAACGGGUGCGGAACACGUACGCAACCUUCCCGAAACUGGGGAAUAGCCCUCCGAAAGGAGGAUUAAUACCCCGUAACAUAGUGAAGAGGCAUCUCUUUAUUAUUAUAGCUCCGGCGGUUUUGGAUGGGCGUGCGCCUGAUUAGGUAGUUGGCGGGGUAACGGCCCACCAAGCCUACGAUCAGUAACUGGUGUGAGAGCACGACCAGUCACACGGGCACUGAGACACGGGCCCGACUCCUACGGGAGGCAGCAGUAAGGAAUAUUGGUCAAUGGACGCAAGUCUGAACCAGCCAUGCCGCGUGAAGGAUGAAGGUCCUCUGGAUUGUAAACUUCUUUUAUCUGGGACGAAAAAAGGGAAUUCUUUCCCACUUGACGGUACCAGAGGAAUAAGCACCGGCUAACUCCGUGCCAGCAGCCGCGGUAAUACGGAGGGUGCAAGCGUUAUCCGGAUUUACUGGGUUUAAAGGGUGCGUAGGUGGGCAGGUAAGUCAGUGGUGAAAUCUUCGAGCUCAACUCGGAAACUGCCAUUGAUACUAUCUGUCUUGAAUAUCCUGGAGGUGAGCGGAAUAUGUCAUGUAGCGGUGAAAUGCUUA
rnacentral:rRNA from 1 species